GGUAAUUUAGUAGUUUAGUAAUUGCAAACGUUUUAAGCGAGCAGAGGAUCCCCAAAGCCAAACAAAUUCUCUUCCGCCGCCGCCGCCGCCGCUAGUUUCGUCGGACAAGCGCAUAAAUAUAGACGCAGAAAACUCAAGCUGAAACCCCGCCAAAACCGGCCAUGUCUCCAUGUCGAAAGAAGACAAAGGAUGAUGCCAAUUUCCUUGAAGACGUCAAGGAUCACAUUGAUGAAUUCAUGAGUGCUUCCAUGGAUGAUCACAAGAAUUGUUUCAACAAGACCAUAAAAAAGAUGUUUGGGUUAUCAAAGGCUGUUGCGGAGAAGCAGCAAACUGAGGCUAAAGGAGUCGAGAGUUAUUUGCCACUUCAGACAACAGUCUCGGACUAGAGAAACUGAUAGAGAAUCAAGCUAACAGGAUCUUGGUUCGGUUUACUUUUGGCUGGUUUUUCGUUUACCAUUGUUUAGGGUUUAUGCCCAUUUAUUACAGUAAAUAAAUUAAAGAUGACAGUUAGUUAUUGGUGGAUAACUAAUCAAAACAUAACAUGUCUUUUACUUUGUUUUGUUAUUGGUGAUUGUUAACCCAUGCUUGUCUUCGUCUUCAACUAAAUUGAUCUCUUCUUCUGUCAAGUA